rnacentral:rRNA from 1 species
UGUUCGGAGAGUUUGAUCCCGGCUCAGGAUAAACGCUGGCGGCGUGCCUUAUGCAUGCAAGUCGAACGGUCUCGAUUUAUCGGGAUAGUGGCAAACGGGUGAGUAACGCGUAAGUAACCUACCCUCAAGUAGGGAAUAACUCUGAGAAAUCGGAGCUAAUACCUUAUGUGAUAGUGGAGGUAAUGCUCCACUAUUAAAGCCUUCGGGUGCUUGGGGAAGGGUUUGCGUCCGAUUAGCUAGUUGGUAGGGUAAUGGCUUACCAAGGCGAUGAUCGGUAGCUGGUUUGAGAGGACGGCCAGCCACAUUGGGACUGAGACACGGCCCAGACUCCUACGGGAGGCAGCAGCAAGGAAUUUUGUGCAAUGGGCGAAAGCCUGACACAGCGACGCCGCGUGGGGGAUGACGGCCUUCGGGUUGUAAACCCCUUUUCUCAGGGAAGAAUAAUGACGGUACCUGAGGAAUAAGUCUUGGCUAACUACGUGCCAGCAGCCGCGGUAAUACGUAGGAGGCGAGCGUUAUCCGGAUUUACUGGGCGUAAAGCGGGCGUAGGCGGUUCUUCAAGUCGGAUGUAAAAUCUCCCAGCUCAACUGGGAGGGAUCAUUCGAUACUGUUGGGCUAGAGGGCAGCAGAGGGAGGUGGAAUUCCCGGUGUAGUGGUGAAAUGCGUAGAUAUCGGGAGGAACACCAGUGGCGAAGGCGGCCUCCUGGGCUGUUUCUGACGCUGAGGCCCU